UACGUAGGGUGCGAGCGUUGUCCGGAAUUAUUGGGCGUAAAGAGCUCGUAGGCGGUUUGUUGCGUCGGCCGUGAAAACCUGCAGCUUAACUGUGAGCGUGCUUCCGAUACGGGCAGACUUGAGGUAUUCAGGGGAGAACGGAAUUCCUGGUGUAGCGGUGAAAUGCGCAGAUAUCAGGAGGAACACCGGUGGCGAAGGCGGGUCUCUGGGCCGUAACUGACGCUGAGGAGCGAAAGCGUGGGGAGCGAACAGG
rnacentral:rRNA from 1 species